GAAAAAUAAAACUAAUAAUAAACUGGAGUUUUACAGGACAGUCAUCAUCUUUACAUCUCAUUUAGAAGGGAAUAAAAUCAUCAAUUUUACAGCAGUUCAGCAGCUGAAACAAACAAGACAUUUUUACACCUAGCCCAACUCGGUGCAGGGUAAUCACAGAGGGCAAGGAUCUCAAAUCCACACUUAGCCAAAAGAUUAUAACUCACAUGUAGGAUUGGGUUCUACCAGAAAGACACAAUAGCACUACAUAGUUAAGGAGAGGAAUGUCAAAAUAAUUUAAAUCAUUUUACCAUCAAGACUGCAUUACCAAGGAGCUUGGUUCACGGCCAUGUACCCUCAAUCUAUAGAUGCAUGUGUGUGGCUGCCCAUGGUUUGAUGUGAAAUCAAACCUGAUUGUGUCGACAACAUUAGAGCCUGCCGACUCUAAAACAUCAAAAGUCUGUGCAUUGCUCUUGUCCAGAUCAUACAUGAACUCCGUCAAAAGAAACAUCUUCUCACUAUCAGCUGCUAGGUCAGUACCCUUUUCAUUAUGGAGCCAUCCUGAUAUCCUGCCGUUCUUUGGAGCACUGGAUCUAUCGUAAGCAACACUCUUUGCAACAUGUUCCAAGGUAACAGCUUCAGGUAUAAUAGCUGUUCGAAGCCGAAUCUGGACAAACCCGCUAUCCCCUUUAAGGGCAAAACACUGACCAGGUUCUCCAAAGCUGGGAGUGAGUAUCUUGUCAGCAUUGUUACUAACAGCAUUUCGGUUAGUUAACCAACUAAAAACAUCACCACUACCAGACUUCGUAAUAAAUGGCUCUGAGUGCUUCACAACACGAGCCCCUCCAGAGGACAAUGCAUAAUCCACCCUCCCUAAUCCAUCUGCAGCAUGUUUCUCUAUCUCUUUCUCCA
rnacentral:misc_RNA from 1 species